GAACCUCUAAGUCUCCACACCAAGGUAAGAUGUGAAGAAGAGAUGAGUGACCUUGGAGGAGAAAGAUUACUAUGUCACAGCCCAUCCCGAGAUUUUCAUAUCGGGAGUGUGAAAUGACGAAAGUACCCUUGACGUUAUUAAGGUAUGUGUGUGUAUGAUCUAUUAUUUGGACUAAAUAUACAUUCCUAAACUUUUGGAGAAAAUAAUUUAAGUUGGAUUAAAAAUGUUAUUUGAAUUUGUGUGGUUAGGGAUUAAAAAUGUAUGGUUUUGGUUGGACCACACAACCUGUCAAACCUCUCUCCCUCUCCUUCCCGUAUGCUCUCUCUCUCUCCUCUCUCACGACUCUCUCAGUCUCUCCUCUCUCACGACUCUCUCAGUCUCUCCUCUCUCACCCUCAAACGUACGAACGAAGCCCCAAAUCCUCCCAUUUCUCACGGAUCGACGCCAAAGAG
rnacentral:lncRNA from 1 species